rnacentral:rRNA from 1 species
GUAACAAGGUCUCCGUUGGUGAACCAGCGGAGGGAUCAUUACCGAGUUUACAACUCCCAAACCCCUGUGAACAUACCAAUUGUUGCCUCGGCGGAUCAGCCCGCUCCCGGUAAAACGGGACGGCCCGCCAGAGGACCCCUAAACUCUGUUUCUAUAUGUAACUUCUGAGUAAAACCAUAAAUAAAUCAAAACUUUCAACAACGGAUCUCUUGGUUCUGGCAUCGAUGAAGAACGCAGCAAAAUGCGAUAAGUAAUGUGAAUUGCAGAAUUCAGUGAAUCAUCGAAUCUUUGAACGCACAUUGCGCCCGCCAGUAUUCUGGCGGGCAUGCCUGUUCGAGCGUCAUUUCAACCCUCAAGCCCAGCUUGGUGUUGGGACUCGCGAGUUAAAUCGCGUUCCCCAAAUUGAUUGGCGGUCACGUCGAGCUUCCAUAGCGUAGUAGUAAAACCCUCGUUACUGGUAAUCGUCGCGGCCACGCCGUUAAACCCCAACUUCUGAAUGUUGACCUCGGAUCAGGUAGGAAUACCCGCUGAACUUAAGCAUAUCAAU